rnacentral:rRNA from 1 species
UACGUAGGCAGCAAGCGUUGUUCGGAGUUACUGGGCGUAAAGGGUGUGUAGGCGGUUCUCUAAGUUUGGUGUGAAAUCUCCCGGCUCAACUGGGAGGGUGCGCCGAAAACUGGAGAGCUAGAGUACUGGAUGGGAGAGUGGAAUUCCUGGUGUAGCGGUGAAAUGCGUAGAUAUCAGGAGGAACACCGGUGGUGUAGACGGCUCUCUGGACAGUAACUGACGCUGAGACGCGAAAGCGUGGGGAGCAAACAGG